UACGGGGGGGGCAAGCGUUGUUCGGAAUUACUGGGCGUAAAGGGCGUGUAGGCGGCCAACUAAGUCCGACGUGAAAUCCCCAGGCUUAACCUGGGAACUGCGUCGGAUACUGGAUGGCUUGAAUCCGGGAGAGGGAUGCGGAAUUCCAGGUGUAGCGGUGAAAUGCGUAGAUAUUGGGAGGAACACCAGUGGCGAAGGCGGCUACCUGGACCGGUUCUGACGCUGAGGCGCGAAAGCGUGGGUAGCAAACAGG
rnacentral:rRNA from 1 species